UACGUAGGGCGCAAGCGUUAUCCGGAAUUACUGGGCGUAAAGAGCUCGUAGGUGGUUUGUCGCGUUGUUCGUGAAAACCGGGGGCUUAACCCUCGGCGUGCGGGCGAUACGGGCAGACUUGAGUACUGCAGGGGAGACUGGAAUUCCUGGUGUAGCGGUGGAAUGCGCAGAUAUCAGGAGGAACACCGGUGGCGAAGGCGGGUCUCUGGGCAGUAACUGACGCUGAGGAGCGAAAGCGUGGGGAGCGAACAGG
rnacentral:rRNA from 1 species